GCAAAGGACGCUCCUGCCAGUUGGGUUGUGAUGCAUCGGUGAUAAUAGCAUCAACGGCAGGGAACACAGCAGAAAAAGAUCACCCAGAUAAUCUUUCAUUGGCUGGAGAUGGAUUUGACACAGUUAUCAAAGCAAAAGCCGCAGUUGAUGCGAUCCCAAGUUGUAAAAAUAAAGUUUCUUGUGCUGAUAUUCUUGCCUUAGCCACUCGAGAUGUUAUUCAACUAUCCGGUGGACCGGGG
rnacentral:misc_RNA from 1 species